GCUGAGAAUAGAACCCGGUGCUUCAGUGGUAGAGCUAGGCAAGUGCUCUACUACUGAGCCACAACCCAGUCCAAAAUGGUAAAAAGCAUUUUUAUUUUUCUGUUUCUUUGAAGUUUAGAACAUCGGUAGCAUAUGCUAUAUUAAAGGUAGUUAGGAUUAGCGUAGCCUCCUGGGUUUUGUGUAUUCCACAGGAGAAUAAUUAAUCUUUUCACUUUGCCCCAAAGGUUGAAGAUAACAUUGAUUUGACUUUUUAUUUUUUUUGUUCCUGGGAAUUGGACCCAGGUCCUUGUACAUACUAAGUAUACACUCUUCCAAUGAGCCAUGCUUUGACUUUUUAAAAGUGCAUUGAAAAAGGAAAAAAGCUUUUGUUUAAAAGGGGCGGGGGAUAUAUAUGCUUAUUGAAGAAAAUUUGGGAAAAUAAAAAAUGAAUAGAGAAAAUACAAUUAAUCUAUAAUCCAGUCUUUCCAAAAUAAUUAUUGGUAUUAACAUCUGUCAUGUUUUCUUUUCCUUAAUUUUUUUUGAGACAAAUUUUUUUCCUAAUAGAAAAUAAUGAUUAAUUUGGGGCUGGGGAUGUGGCUCAAGCGGUAGCGCCUGGCAUGCGUGCGGCCCGGGUUCGAUCCUCAGCACCACAUACAAACAAAGAUGUUGUGUCCGCCAAAAACUAAAAAUAAAUAAAUAAAUAUUAAAAAAUAUAAGGGUGUGUAUGUUAAAAAAAAGAAAAAGAAAAUAAUGAUUAAUUUGAAGAUUCAAUAACAAGGUAUAAAGGAAUGAUUAUAGAUCGAUUCUUAAAAAUAGUAAGUGUAUAUAAAAGAUUGAGUGAAAAUGCCAAUGAAAUUCACAAGAGUGGAGGUACAGUUUUGCUUGUUGUCACAAAAAUUGACCCAUAAAGUUGAUUUUUCUUCUUCUGCCUCUUCUCUUCCUCCUCCUUUUCUUUCUUUCUUUCUUUUUUUUUUCUUAAUUAUAUCAGGGAUUUGAACCCUGGGGUCCUUAC
rnacentral:lncRNA from 1 species